rnacentral:rRNA from 1 species
UACGGAGGGUGCAAGCGUUGUCCGGAUUUAUUGGGUUUAAAGGGUGCGUAGGCGGUCUAUAAAGUCAGUGGUGAAAGUCUUCGGCUCAACCGGAGGAUUGCCAUUGAAACUCAUAGACUUGAGUACAGUAGAGGUAGGCGGAAUUUAUGAUGUAGCGGUGAAAUGCAUAGAUAUCAUAAAGAACACCGAUAGCGAAGGCAGCUUACUAUGCUGUUACAGACGCUGAGGCACGAAAGCGUGGGGAGCGAACAGG